UACUGUGGAAGAUGUCAAUGAAGAAGGACCCACGUUUGACCAGUCCUCAUAUUACAAGGUCCUCUUAGACAGCUCUACAGCUGGCAGCCUGGUAGUAGACAUCAAUGCAAGAGAUGAAGGCAAGGGUUAUGAUGAAGGCAUUUUCUACAAUAUUUCAGGUGGAAACUCAGAAGGCCUCUUUAGUCUUUCCAGUACCACGGGAGAGCUCAGGUUAACAAGAGACUUAUCCAAACAAACUGUUCCCCUGUAUUACUCCUUGAACAUCACCGCUACGGAUUCGGGUCUGCCACCUCUUUCAACCUCUGUAAAGGUGUCAGUCAUAAUUGCUCCCAUGGAUGUGUCCUUCCCAGUGUUCCUGGAAGAAGCCUAUCACCCUGCCCCUCUGUCAGAGAAGAGCCCCACAGAUACGUUUGUUGUUGAGGUUAGAGCCUUGUACAAGCUCCCUGUGAACUACAGCAUCGCCUCUGGAGAUGAGA
rnacentral:lncRNA from 1 species